UUAAUUAAGGGGAGUAGCAGGAAAGAAAAAUGAAGUCAAAUUCAAGGAUGGACUUUUAUUGUAUGAACCUCCAGGUUAGUCUUGAACUGCUGAACAAAUAUGUUGGUGAAAGUGAGCUGACAAUAAGAGCAUUAUUUCAAGUUGAGGCGCAUUAGUCCUAUUGUCAGAACCUCAUUCUACAUUGGGAGCUCAUUAUUGAGCUCACCCUUCGACAGUUCUUUAGAUCAUAUUUCAAUAUGAAUAGAUGUGAAUAC